rnacentral:rRNA from 1 species
GCUAGUAAUCGCGCAUCAGCCAUGGCGCGGUGAAUACGUUCCCGGGCCUUGUACACACCGCCCGUCAAGCCAUGGGAGUCGGGAGUGCCUGAAGUUCGUGACCGUCACAGGAGCGACCUAAGGCAAGACCGAUGACUGGGGCUAAGUCGUAACAAGGUAUC